rnacentral:rRNA from 1 species
AUUGAACGCUGGCGGCAUGCUUUACACAUGCAAGUCGAACGGUAACAGGUUAAGCUGACGAGUGGCGAACGGGUGAGUAAUGCAUCGGAACGUGCCCGGUCGUGGGGGAUAACGCAGCGAAAGCUGCGCUAAUACCGCAUACGAUCUGAGGAUGAAAGCGGGGGACCGUAAGGCCUCGCGCGAUCGGAGCGGCCGAUGUCAGAUUAGGUAGUUGGUGGGGUAAAGGCUCACCAAGCCAACGAUCUGUAGCUGGUCUGAGAGGACGACCAGCCACACUGGGACUGAGACACGGCCCAGACUCCUACGGGAGGCAGCAGUGGGGAAUUUUGGACAAUGGGCGAAAGCCUGAUCCAGCAAUGCCGCGUGCAGAAAGAAGGCCUUCGGGUUGUAAACUGCUUUUGUACGGAGCGAAAAGGUCUCCUCUAAUACAGGGGGCUCAUGGCGGUACCGUAAGAAUAAGCACCGGCUAACUACGUGCCAGCCGCCGCGGUAA